rnacentral:rRNA from 1 species
AAUCAACGCUGGCGGCGUGCCUCAGACAUGCAAGUCGAACGCGAAAGUUCCCUUCGGGGAGCGAGUAGAGUGGCGCACGGGUGAGUAACACGUAGGUAAUGUACCUUUGGGUGGGGAAUAACAUCGGGAAACCGAUGCUAAUACCGCAUAAUGCAGCGGCUCGACAUCGAGACAGUUGUUAAAGCAUUUAUGCGCCUGAAGAGCAGCCUGCGGCAGAUUAGCUUGUUGGUAAGGUAAUGGCUUACCAAGGCUACGAUCUGUAACCGACCUGAGAGGGUGGUCGGUCACACUGACACUGAAUAACGGGUCAGACUCCUACGGAGGCAGCAGUCGGGAAUUUUGGGCAAUGGGCGAAAGCCUGACCCAGCAACGCCGCGUGAAGGAUGAAGUCUUUCGGGA